GCCGCAACUUGAGGCCAUUUCCUCUCAUCCUAUCUCCAUCCACCUGACAGAAGAGACCAGCACCCACAGCAGGGAGCUUCCAGGAGCUGCUUAUCCCUCUAUAAGCUACUACAUCUCGAUACCAACUUUAAGGCCUCUCAAUUUUGCCACAAGAGACUUCCCCAAAAUUAAAACAACCAGAUAAUCAGGCUACAAGGACCCAUGAUGCUGCUAUUAAAGAGGACUGACUUCAAGAACUUUGAGAAAGAAAAUAGAAAUUUCCAUCUUUGUUGCUCAGGUUCUUCCUUUAGAGGGCUUCCUACAGCUACAUGACUAGAAGAUAAGAGACUGAUACUGGAAGGCACAAGUGUUAGAAGAUCAAGUCUGAUACACUGCUGCUAUGGAGAUGAUCUAGUUGGAAGAGUAUGUAUUUGCUGGAGCUCUGUAGCCUGCGUGCUCUUCAGAUGACCUGACGGACCUCACAGCUGCCAGGAUUCAUUCUGUCAGGACUACAGGUCUCUCCCAUUUCUGCUUUUCUCUAUGAUGUCCUCUCUGGUGCUCACCUUUCAUAAAGAGCUAGUCUCAGCAAAGGACCAACCUUAUCUGAUGGCUCUUUGGCACAAAUUCUGUAACACUUGCCCGUUUAUUUGUAUAAAAAUUUUCUUAAAACUCAGAAAAUGAAGAAUGAAUUAGUUCUUAGAAUGUCUGCACAUGGGUUAAAGUGAAAUUUAUGCAUUUACUGAACUCCUGUUUGUGAGAUGUGUCUGGGGUCAAGAAAAGGUUAAAGUUGUUUACUGCCUUCAA